UACGUAGGGUGCAAGCGUUAAUCGGAAUUCCUGGGCGUAAAGCGUGCGCAGGCGGUGAUGUAAGACAGAUGUGAAAGCCCCGGGCUCAACCCGGGAAGUGCACUCGAUACUGCAGAGCUUGAGUGUCGGAGAGGUUGGUGGAAUUCUCGGUGUAGAGGUGAAAUUCGUAGAUAUCGAGAGGAACACCGGCGGCGAAGGCGGCCAACUGGACGACUACUGACGCUGAGACACGAAAGCGUGGGGAGCAAACAGG
rnacentral:rRNA from 1 species